UACUUUAGCCUCAGCAUUAAUCUGCCCCAACUGAGCUCGUCUGAUUUUGGAAGCUAAGCAGGGCCAGUCCUGGUUAGUUCUUGGAUGGGAGAUCAGCUGGAGAAACAAGUGCUACAGCUA
rnacentral:rRNA from 1 species